rnacentral:rRNA from 1 species
UACAUGAAGCUGGAGUUACUAGUAAUCGCAGAUCAGAAUGCUGCGGUGAAUGCGUUCCCGGGUCUUGUACACACCGCCCGUCACACCACGGGAGUUGGAGACGCCCGAAGCCGAUUAUCUAACCUUUGGGAAGAAGUCGUCGAAGGUGGAAUCAAUAACUGGGGUGAAGUCGUAACAAGGUAGCCGUAUCGGAAGGUGCGGCUGGAUCACCUCCUUUCUAAGGAG